ACAAAGCCAUGAUUUUCGUAAAUAGAUCAGUAUAGAGUAUGAACUAUAUCGAUAAAGUGCAAACUCAUGUAUCCGUUUUAAGCGAGCUCAUUGCAAAUUUGAACAGAUUGAUCGAUAAUGGAAUAUGCUGUGUUAAGAGUUUAGCUAAUGAGCUUCUUUUUUUUUUUUAAAUAAGCUAUAAUUUGUUUUCUGAAUUCGUAUAAAAUGCAACCCGAUUGAUCUUAAUUGACCCGACUUAACCCGAACGAUCGUAACAAAGAAUAUGGGAUUUCGUAGAUCGGCCCAUCUGAGAAUUUAAAUGAAGCGACUCCCUCUCCAUCGUAAAACCCUAUUCUUUCAUAGUUUCGUAUCAGCCGCCGUGCAAGGACCCGGUAUCUGAACCCGACCCGACUAAAAAAAUCAAUGGGCUUUGGUUCCGGCCCAGCAAACUGAUGGAAAUACGUUGCUUUAUUUAACGGACCAGACGACACCGUCACUCGAAAACCCUAGUUCUUCGCUCUUGUAUCAAAUGCCGUUUUUUGUAAAAUCUUCGGCGCCGCUUUAGCGUCAGAGUUUCUAUUCAAUAAAUAUAUAUAUGCUUUCCUAUGUGUGUUCUACUCUAAUCUUGGAUACUGAAGCUAAGCUUUAUGUUUUUUUUUUCCUAUGUAGUUUUGCACUCUGUCUCGAUGGCUAUGUCAAACUGAGUGGCAUAGUCAUUGAGCAACAGUGCAUAAACGAAUAGCUGUUAGAUCAGCAAGCGGCCAGACAACCGUUGGGAUAGAUCCACAGUUGCACCUUGUAUCGAAUGUUAUGCCUCGUCCUGGUGGCAUGGCUAUUUUUCGAGGAUGCAGAAAAUAAUAGCUGUUGAAUCAGCAAGCGGCCAGACAACCGUUGGGAUAGAUCCACAGUUGAUUCAGAUUUAAUCUGUUUUCAGCUACUAAAUCUAUCCUACAAUCUGUUUUCUUAUGAAUCCGAAUUAGAGCAAAGCUUGAUGUUUUUAAGUUAGGCAUGGGAUUGGUUCGACGAUUGGUUUUCGAUAUGUUAUAGUUAUCUGGUUUUUGCAAGUCAUUACACGGUGCUUUCACUUGUUAGCUGCUGCUGGUUCUUGUUUUUUGUUUUUAUUAGGAGUAAAUCUUAUUGGAAUCAUAGUUUGAUUGUUCCUCUGCA